rnacentral:rRNA from 1 species
CCUACGGGAGGCAGCAGUGAGGAAUAUUGGUCAAUGGGCUUGCGCCUGAACCAGCCAAGUCGCGUGAGGGAAGACUGCCCUAUGGGUUGUAAACCUCUUUUGUCAGGGAGCAAUUGGCGCUACGUGUAGCGUUAUCGAGAGUACCUGAAGAAAAAGCAUCGGCUAACUCCGUGCCAGCAGCCGCGGUAAUACGGAGGAUGCGAGUGUUAUCCGGAUUUAUUGGGUUUAAAGGGUGCGUAGGCGGAAUGCCAAGUCAGCGGUAAAAUCCGGGGGCUCAACCUCGCCCCGCCGUUGAAACUGGCGGUCUUUAGGGGGCGAGAAGUAUGCGGAAUGGGGGGUGUAGCGGGGAAAAGCAUAG